AUCAGGCUGGCUCAGAAGAGCAUGUGACUUUUGAUCUCGGGGUCGUGAGUUCGAGCCCCAUGUUUGGUA
rnacentral:tRNA from 1 species